AUUGCUUGAGCCUAGGAGGUCAAGACUGUAGUGAGCUCUGAUCACACUGCUGCACUCCAGCCUAGGUGACAGAGCAAGACCCUGUCUCAAAACGAAACAAGAAACCCAUUAUUCGUGAAAGGCUAUCUUGCCCCAGAGUCUGGAGAUACAGUGAUGAGCAACAGACAUUCCUUACCCUCAUGGAGCCAAUAUUUUAGUUGUAAAAAUA
rnacentral:lncRNA from 1 species